rnacentral:rRNA from 1 species
CCUACGGGUGGCAGCAGUAGGGCAUAUUGCUCAAUGGGGGAAACCCUGAAGCAGCAACGCCGCGUGGAUGAAGAAGGUUUUAGGAUUGUAAACUCCUUUUGUUAGAGAAGAUUAUGACGCUCUCUAACGAAUAAGCACCGGACAACACCGUGCCAAGAGCGCCGGUAAGACGCCGGGCACAACGGUUCCUCGGAAUAUGUGGUCGUAAAGGGUGCGGAGGCGGGAUAAUAAGGUCGAUGUGAAAACCUGGAGCGUAACGACAGAACUGCAUUUGAAACUGGUACUCUGGAGUGUGGGAGAGGUAGGUGGAAUUCGUGGUGUAGAGGUGAAAUCCGUAGAGAUCAAGAGGAAUACUGAUUGCGAAGGC